UCAGCCUCUGCAGACAGAGCUGCAAGAUCCUCGAGGCCUUUUUAAUCCCCAGAAACAAGGGCAUAUGUGUGUCAUUUAGGUGUUAAAACAGACCAAAAUGUGUUCUCCCGCCCAGAAGCAAGCAAAGCCAACCCCAGCUGCAGUUCCCUGACAGUCCAGUGAAUUCAGCCAAAGGAAAUGGCCCCACAUGGAGGGCAAGUGACAGAAGACCUGAUGACUCCG
rnacentral:lncRNA from 1 species